UCCUCGGAGAGAACCCUGCAGGAGUGGGGGGCCAGGGGAGGGGGCUGUGCUCCUGAUUCUGGGGUUCGGGAGGGCGAGUGUGAGGGCUUAGCUCGGAAUUCCAGCCUCCCCGCGCACCAGCCUGGAGUCCCUGAGGGACGCCAAGGAGGCCCCUCAUCCCUCCGCCCCCAGGCGGCCAUCUUGGGGAGGAAGUGGAGGCUGCCCCUCCGCCCGCCUCCUCCAGGCCCUCGCGAGGCCUGCGACAUCCUUACCAGGAGCUGUGAGGCUGCAAACAGGCACAGGCUGCUCCUGACGGAAAUAAAAAACAACCACCUCAAACCCAAUUAAAAAAGAAAAAGAAGAAGAAGAAGAAGAAAAAAGACACGGCAUAACCAGGACGUGACCCUGAACAACUGGCCCACGCCCGCCCUCCGGAUUUUUGUCUCUCGGGAUCUGUGCCCUGAGUGGGGCUGGAGGCUGGGCUCGUGACAAGGUCACAGCCACUGGUCUCCCCCACCAACCCCGAGACCCCCACACUGAGAGAACCACAUAAGGCCUGCAUAGUUGUCUGUCCAUGUGCUUGCCCACUCGCUCGACAAACAUUUACUGAGCAUCUCCCAUCUCCUACAUCUAUAGAGUGGCGCAGAGCCCAGGUCCUGGAGACACCGCAUAUGUAUCACAGGCUCCCCCUUCCCACCUGCUGUUGUCUAGGUUUCUCAGAAGAGGAAGAUGAGGUGCAGGGGGAUUAAGAGAGCUGCCCAAAGUCACCUAGCUGCUAAGUGGCGGAGAAGUUCCAUGAGGGCAGGAGUGGGAUCAGUUUCGCUCAUCACAAUUGUCUACAGCAUCUAGCACAGUCCUGGCAUGAAGAUGUGUGACAUUUAUCCCGUGGCUUUGCCCUCAGGGGUACAUGCACCCUAGUCUGAGAAGCAUGGAACUUGCCUGCAAUAAAACAUCACGCAGCUGUAUAAAUGA